GACUCAAGAGGUGAAGUUAAACCAUUCCAUUAAACCAUUAAUCCAGAUGCAUCUUGAUAAAAGUGCAGAUUAUAAAUCAUCUUAAUGUGACUUUAAUUCUGCUCCUUAAAAGUGGGGAAAUAAGCAAAUAAGACGAAUAGUUUUACAUUUAUAAGGAUAAAUUUAAUGUUUUUAAAGGCUUAUCAUGAGCCUCCAUAAUGAGUUCUUCUGUAAUUUCCCUAAAGUCUGACCCUCUUAGAGCUGAUGUACACCUUCAUCUGGUGUGAUUAGAAAGCUUAUUUUGUCUGAAAUUUGUCCUGGAUUUUUUUUUUUUUCUCAAAGGCACCCAGUACUGUUUAUGCCGUUACAGCCGGUAUGAUGAAUGGACAACAUGCGCGGCCUCAGCAGAGCAGUGGGUGUGAGAGGAAACAUGAAGCUGUGCUGGAGCUGAUUCAUGCACUUCUGGAGUUGCUGCGGAGACCAACACAAACAUGUGAAGCCAACAGGAGCUCUGCCGGCAGACACAUCAUUUAUCUGUUGUCCUGCUCUCAGCUCCACUGUUCUCUCCCCCGAAAACAAUCCCUCCUCUGUUCUUUGCUCUCCGAAAGGCUGUGAAACCAAUCUAAAUAAAUUCUCCAUUUGAACGUUC